CUUCGAUACAUCAACAACUGGAUACGUUGCACAUUAUAUCACUCCUGGACUGGACAGUUUUUCUGCUUUACCAAACGGUGACAAUGUCAUUGGGGUAUGGUUAUAUGAAGAUGGAUUCGUUAUCCUAAGCCCUACAACAAAUGGACAGAGGUUGAAUUAUACUAUAUUUCUUGGUGGUGUUUGGACCUUGACAUCAACUAUAUAUAGGAACUUCAACGGUAAAUCAAAACAAGUGGCAAUACACGACACGACAACCAGAAAUUCGAGAUAUUUUUGGAUUGGAUGGUACAACGACAAAAUACAAGUUGGAUUAUCUAGUAUCGUUUCUAAAAAUGUUAUCAUGGAGUAUACUGAUCCUUGUCCAUUCAGAAUCCAUUACGUUGCUGUCAGUAGAGUUACACAUUCAUAUUGGGGGAUACAUCUAGGCGUUGAAUACCAAGAGGACACAUCAUGUAAAGUUACUCAUUGUGACAGUUGUAAACGUUAUACACUUAGAACGAAAUGUCCAGCUUUUGUUAUGAAGAUGUCUGUUGAGGUUAACUCAGAGGACGAAUGCUAUUCCCGAUGUUACAAGGAUGACGACUGCGAAGCCUUCCAUUAUGAUAAUACUGCGCAUGUGUGCCGCUUGUUCACCGAUGAAGUUGAUCCAGACGGCGAAAUCAUAUCUCCAAUUUUUCGAAAGUUACAUUGAGAACUAUAUAACCCAUUUUAUAUUUCAAAGUGCUGAAGAUAUUUUAAAUCGAAAAACGGAGAAAAAAGUUAAGUGAAAUAUUUGAACUACCUGUAUAUCAAAGUCAUACAAACUUUACACUUUGUUUUUAUACAAUUUGUGUGUCUUAAAAGCGUUACAUAAUUGUCUUUUCUGGUUCUUUAUAUUUCUUGUAAUUUUGUUUUAUUUCAGUAGCAUAUCACUUUCGUAAUAAUUGUAUGUACAUUAAGAUUGUGAUAUAAAUCCUAUUGGUGAAAGUGAUUGGGCAGGGUCGAAUAUAAGUAGAAUUAUGAUACGGAUAUUACGAAAAACUUUGUACUCAAGAGGGUCAUUUGUUGAUGUUUGGUAUAUAUAAUUGGAAAUUCCAUCGUGCUAUAUCAUAGUAUUUUCAAACUUUUCGACAGAGCUAACCAAUGACAAAAUUAGUUAUGCCACUUAAUGAGCGAUGUGAUCAGCAUUUUUUUACGUCGAUUAUAUGAAAUAAUCACGGUUACAUCAUUUGUCAGUAUCUAUUUAACAAUUUUCUUUGCAAUCCAAAAGAGAUGAAAAGUGUGUCAGUUUUGUUGGGCGGAAUGUAUAUAUAUACGCGUCUUUAUCCUGUCGAAAUAGUGGAAGGAGAUGCAAAGUUAUUUACACGUUAUAACAACAUUGCAACAACUCUUUGAGAGAUCUUCGGAUUGCCUGUUGCAAGGAAAAAAAUGUUCUUACAAAAAUCACCGUCAUUUUCAAGUGGCUGAAGAAAUCCUGCUUUUCAUGACAUUUGUUCCCUUUUGGAGAACCAAUUUGUAAUAAUCUUAAUCGUGUAGAUGCAUAUCAUUUAACCCGAAUAUCAAUAAAUCAUCAUUCAAUUCAAUCAAUCAAAUUUAUUUUUGUUUGUGAAAUACUGAAUACAUUUGACGAUUUAGAGGACUGCGGAGGAAAUGGACUGAACACAAAGUAGAGUGAAAUUUUAACUUAAACUUUGGGAAAGGAGUAUUUCCACCUUGUUUUCACCACAAUUCUGGUUUCCAUGUAUAGUUAAACAAUACUGUUAUGGGACCAGUGAUGAUGCGAUUUUAAUGAAGAAAAGAAAAGUACCCAACAUGUUUUCGAUGUUUUUAUUCGAAUCAUAAGAAUGGUAAAAUUGAAAAUAUCAUCAGAAGAGAAAAGCUGCAAAUUAUCUGACAUUGACAUCCUACAAAAGAAACAAAAGUAAUGAAAACGUAAAAUGUAAUGGGAUCAGUCAAUUUCUCUACGAAGUCAUUUUAAUAAGAUAUCAAACUAUUUUUCAAUAGUUUUAGUUUUAUGUGUUACUUUUAUUAUUUUUUUUAUUUAGUAUUGCAGUUUUUGUAGACGUUUCUUAAAUGUUGUUAGGUUCAAUGCUGUUUUAAUCGUAUCUCCUUUUACUCAUAUUCAUCAAUUUAGCAUACAUUAAUACACUUAUAUUAUACUAGAUGUCUUUAUACAUAUAUAAUUCGUCCCAAAGUUAGACUAACAAUGUUAUAUCUCAAAUUUUCGUUAGCAAAUUUUAGUUCUUUCCUCAGCGGGAAUUCGAGCCCUUGCUUCUGUGACAUCUUACAUUAGCAAUCUUUUAUAAACUAGUUGUUUUCUUUAAAAAAAAAAAGGGUUUUGAAAGAAUUUUUACAUUAUCUUAAACAGCAAAUUUUCAAAGAUUUCAUGUCAGCACACGAGUUCUAACUACUAGGCUGGUGAUGCCGACGGUGGAAACGCCCACUAGCAGUGACAUCGACAAAAAGGUUGUUAUAUGUAAUCAGAGAUACUCCUUUAUUUUUAAAUCAUUUGAAUUAUGUUCAUUUUGAAUUGUAUGUUUUUUAUACCUAAAUAUUGAUUGUGAAAUACAUCUUCUAUUGUCGUUCUUGCAUUUAGUUUGAUUUGCAACAUGACUUCAAAUACAAUUUUAUCAACUUGAAUAAACAUAUGAUAUAAUGUUUAUUGUUAUUGACUAGAAAUCUAAAUAGGAAAUUAUUUGACAAAUUUACGAAUCUAAAACAUGUGAUGAUAAUAAUAUAUAAUGUAUGAGUUCAGUUAGUUGUCAUAACUGCAAUAUGUCAACAUUGCAGUUAAACAAUAUGUCUAACAGUGUAGUCAAUGUCCAUUUAAUACAGAGUGUUAAAGCACACAAAUCAGUAUGAAGUUUCACAAUACUACUUAGUAUACAUGUGUUUAAUGCAAUAUCAUUGAUGAAUGCAAAGUUGUUCAAAAGGGGAGGGGUUCUUUUGUUUAAAAAUAAAAAAUUGAUUCUUUUAUCAGGAAUAAAUUUUGUAUUCAAUCAUAUAUACAAAAAUUGACAAUUUUAAAUAUGCCAUAGCUGUUUGAGAGUACCCAUCCCACUUUAGAAUCGAAAAAGGCCACAUGAUGCCAAUAGGACGUCAGGAGUGCCUGGACAACACACAACUGUCGCUUUAAAAGUAAUGUAAAAAGGGACUCAUUGACAAUAACAACAGAAAUAACCUGUUGAAUAAUAUACUUAAGUCAUUGGGUGUUUAUGAUAUAUAUACAAACUUCAAUAAUUUCAGUCUAAAAUCAUAUAACGGGGAGGGGGGUUGUUUGCUGAUGGAAUAUUCAUUCUCACGUGUUGCAAAUAUGGCAGUAUUGAUUAUCUAUUUGCAUUAUUGGACACAACAAUGUCCUACAUUUUGUUGUGCAGAAUAAUAAUUUUCAUUGACAAGUGUCUUUUUAUCAAGUUCUUAAAAUAGUUAUUUUUAACAUUCUUCGCCCCACCAAUGGAGUAGUAAAUGGUUGACUCUCUCUAACAUGCAUAUUGACAAAUCUAACUAGCAGAAAAUAUUUAUUUGUCUGCUUUGGGGAAAUAUUUUGGGAUGUAAAAUGACAGUGCAUGAAUACAGAUGAGUGUCAGUUACACACAAGGAAGAACAUAAGGAAAACGUAUAUAAAUAUUACAAAAAGGCUCAUGCCACGGAAUCACCAUGAAAAGAACAUAUCAUCAAAAUAAUGUAAAAUAACCAAAUUGUAUAUUUAUUUAUUUAUUUAUUAUAUUUUGGUAGAUAAGAAGUGGAUAAUAAAUUGCUAAUACUGAUAAUGAAAAAAUAAAAAAAAAGUUAUAUCUAUGUAAGAAUUGUCUAAAAUAUGGAAUGCAAUUCUACAAAAGAGCGGAAUAACCACCCCCCAGCCCCCCCCCCCCCCCCAACCCCCCAUAAGAAGGAUGCAUUAAAAACUCAUAAAACGAAAGGAUACAAUAAAUAAAAACGACAAAGACGAAUCAACUAGAAUUUUGGGGUGAUAUGAGGUGCUCCAGAAGGGUAAGCUGACCCUGCACCAGUAAUGGCAAGCAUUGAUAUCGUAGAUUAGAAAAAAAAAGAAAAAUACAAAAUGGAAAAGUAAUUAGGAUCCAUCCACUGCUUACAUGGUUUUUGCAUAACAUAUUUUUUCAAUAGCCUAAGUCAUAUUUGUUACUAAUAAUGUCAUUUAAUUACAUAAUUGUUUGAAAUAUAGAAGUUUUUCGUAGACUAUAUGUUUUGUGGUUACCUAUCCAAUGUUAUUUAAACAUGUGUUAUCAUAUAUAAUUUCAUUCAAACUGUCAUUAAUGUAUAUACUUUGUCUCACGAGACUACGAUUCUUUAUAUCUGACAUAAGAAUGAUAAAGAUAAUAAUUUAAUUAUUAUUUUUCUGAUUUAACUCUUGAGGAAGUAUCAUGUCUUUUUGUAAAUUUAUGGAAAUUAAAAAAUAAUGUCUUGCGUGAGACGAAAUAAGAAGAAUGUGAGCCAUAUGUAUGUUCGGGCGUUAAAGAAUUAGAAGAGCGUUUUUUUAAACAGAUGAUUUAUGGUCGGAAAUAACUGCCUGUCAUAUGGAGGUCGACCUUGACCUUAUUUUCAUUUUUGAAUUACCUCCUGAAGAGAAAGUUCAAAUAUAAUUUAUGUUUCGUUGAUAAUAUUUCACAUCUUGUAUUGUGAUCGACCGAAUAAUAAGUUUAGAGUUUUAUGAACAUUGAAGACCUUGUUGUGACUAAGAAAUGGAGAAUAGGAAAAAGAAGCAACUAUCAAUGAAAGUAAAUGGUGAUUUUGUGUCAUGAAUAGUACACUAUAUUCUUUCGUAUUAUGUAAAAAUCAAUUGUUUUAAUGUGAUUUCUUUUCACGACAUGGAAAAGUAAUCAGAAUCCAUUCAUUUCUCACCGCAUAGUCAGCUAUAAAAUACAAUUUCAAUAGGUUCAGUUUAUCUGUUAUUGAUAAUUUCUAUCUAAUUAAAUGAUUGUUUGAAAUGUUAUAAUUAUUCGUAGACGAUACAUGAAUGUUUUUAAGUAGCCUGUUUAAUGUUAAAUGAUAUCUCAUUUACUCAUAUUUAUAAAAACAUAUUAUUAAUUAGUAUACUGUGUGUUCUAUGAGUAAAAUUGUUUAUAUCUUAUAUUAUCGAUGCUUUUCAUAGCCAUGUACUUAUUUGUUCUAAUAUAAGGCAAUACUCUAUAUUUUUGUAAAGUAGGAGGUAUGAUAAGAGCCCUUACUUGGCCCUGAAAUUGCAAAAAUAGUAAUAUUGUUCAAGAAUUUCAAAAUUAUGUUAUUUUUGCAUAACUGAAUAGGUUAAUAUAAUUUGGAUACUUUGGUUUAGAAAGGUCACUUGAGGUGUCACAUUUAUGUCAUAAAGGCUGCUGGGGGACUACUACUUCCCGAGGGUGUCAUCAGCUUAGUUGUCUGCUUUUGCACCCGCAUGAUUUAUAAUAUAUACAAAUAAGAAGAUGUGGUAUGAUUGGCAAAGAAACAACUCUCCACAAGCCAUACCGCAGAGUCAGCUAUAAAAGGCCACGAAAUGACAAAUGUGAAAUAAUUCAAAAGAGAAAACUAACGGUCUUAUUUAUGUACAAAAUAAUGAAUGAAAAACAAAUAUGUUACACGGCAACAAACGACAAACACUGAAUUACAGGCUCCUGACUAGGGACAGGCACAUACAAAAUGUGGUGGGGUUAAACUAGUUAGAUGGCGCAAAACCCUCCCCCUAACCUGGGACAGUGGUGGGUCACAGCACAAAUAAGUAGACACUACACAAAACAAUAAACGAAAAACAAAUAUGACAAACAGCAAAAAAACAGCUACUUAGUUACAUGCUCCUGACUUUGGACAGGCAUAUGUAGAGUGUGGUGGGGUUAAACUCGUUUGAAGGCGCCAACACUCCCCAAACCUGGGACAGUGGUGUAACAGUACAACAUGAGAACACUACAUAAAAAAUCAGUUGAUAAAGGCUUAACUCAUCAGAUGGAUACAAAUAGAAAUACAUCUACCAAAAACACAAAUAGGACGUGGAUGGGUACUUACACAUCAACACAACAGAAAGACACUAAGUCCAGAUCUGAGAGUACUCGCAAUUACAUACAACUAGUUCAAAGCCAAUAACAACUAAUGAAAAAAAUCAUGCAUCUUAGACUAAAAUAUAGAACAUGCCUUUCUUAAAUUGUUCGUUCGUGAAAUUAGAAAUUAUUAAGAAACUGAAGUUCCAACUCCCUCAUGCAAAGUUGACAUUUGAUGGUUUUGCUAUUAUUUUUAGAUACCUUCUGGGUCAAACAGUUUUUCCCGUGUUUUGGUACUAAUACAUUUUUAGCUUUAUAAUUUUGGCUUUGGGCGUUCCUGAUGAAGGUUAAUCCAUAAAAGCCAUUUAGACGCACAAUUCUUUAAAGUGUUAUUUUCUUUUUUCGUAGUUAAAGGAUAUAAUGAGUAUCUAAUAGAAUGUUAACAUGAAAUGAAUCAAAUUAAACAGGUUAGACAUUUCCCCGUGUGUACUCUCGUUAAAGAAUUAGUGAUAUUAUAAUUCCAUUUCUAAUUCAUUUAUGUAUAUCAUGUUGCUUGUAUAUUUUCUGUAAAAUAAAAUGAAUAAAAUACAUUUUCUA